rnacentral:lncRNA from 1 species
UUGGCACCACAUCACUUGCAUGAUCACCACCUCUCGGUCCUAAAUGAGAUGCAGGAUGCAUAUGUAUGAAUACAAUGAAAAAUAUCACAAGAUAUAUAAAUACACGGUAGCGAACUAACAUUUAAUUGUAAGACACCAUGAACAACCACACGCUAACAUUAGUUAUUUACACGUUAUCGGCGUUCAACAUAACACCAUUAAAAAGACGACAUCCUUUUACUUAUUUACGCAACACAACUACGACAUCACAAGUACACGCAUUUACUACGCUCACCUUAAUCAUCCACUAGUUACUUAAUCAUUAAGUUAGUUAAGUACCUAAGUUCGCUACUACUGAUAUGUAGACAGACUUAGUUGAAAGGGAACUAGACACUUAAUUGGGCUUUACAAUUAUUUACUAGGCAAACACUUAUUAGACCUUAACCAAUUUAGUUCACUAAUUUAACGAGACGUGUACUAGUUGCCUAUAUACUUAGGCUCAAUUAUAUUAGUUAUAUUAUCAUUACUGCGUGUCCAACCAAAAUCAAAACGAGAAAACAGUCGACUCAAGAAAUACACCAUAGAGUAGAGCAAUCCACCAAACAUAAUAAAAUAGGACAGCAGCACAACAGUUGCUUGUUUCAGUCAUAACUCUUCAAAUAUUAAUCCAAACAUAGCAAACUAGGACUUUCUGGAAAGCUUAAAAUGUUCUCUACAACUUUGGUAUUUUCACCUCAACAAGAUUCAACAAUAGCAAGGUUAAAAGUGCUAACACAACAUAUCUGUCCAGAUUUGGACAGAUUCAGACAUCCAAACAAGGUGAUCCUAGACUUUCUGGAAAGCUAAUUAAAUGUUCUACAAAUUAUUUAUAAACAUCACUGGCUGGUUUAACAUGUAUCAAGGGUAAUAUACACUAUGAAGGUUGUGCUGUCCAGAACUGGACAGAUUCAGUCUUCACACUUUAAACAUCUAUAACUUAAUCUUCAGACCACCAAAAAUAGUGAUCCAAGAUUUUUUGGAAAGAUUGGAAAAAGCACUACAUAACUUUUAUAAUCACCAAGAAGUGAUUCCAGGUUUAUUCAAAUCAAACAUUACAGUUUUUGAAAUCUGUUCUGACAGAGGACAGAACAUAGCAACCAAAUUGUAAAAUUCAUAACACUUAAACUAUCAGUCCUAUAGUUAUGAAAUUUUAACACCAGCAAUAUAAUAAAGUUAUCUACCACUUUUCUAUAGCACAUAUCUAUAGAAAACACAAUUUAGUUCAUCAAACAUACAGCACAACUAAAACAGUGCGUGCAGUCCAAAACAGCAAUCAAUAAAUUUCAGUUUCUAUAUAAUUCAAGAAUUUCCUUGAUCUAGAGAGUUGAAUUAUUCUAACACUUUACCAUUUGUUAGAGUUAACAUAACCAAGGGAGAACUAACAAGUAGACUUACUAAAUUUUUAUCCGUGUCAUUUUGUACGCUAGAAUCACCACACACAAUUAACAAACACAUCCACCACAAUAAUCGGACCCGGUACAUAUACAUGUAUCGAUGCGCCCUUCACACACUAAUUUGCAUUUUAGCUUAGACAUCAUAUGAACACUACUACUUUUUACCCGCGAUCAUAACCAUGCGCAAUUGGGCUACAACACGCAAUUCAUCGUGACCAUGAACUUAACUAAAGUCAUCUAACAAGUUGAUUAACCUGAGCAGCAACCUAGGCCGCUAUACAACAUACUCGUCGGCUAGCCUAUUAUUAUCGAAAUCUGAGACACAACAUAUACCACAACAUUUAUAUAAACAUUCAUAUUCACAUGUAUUUUCACACAUCCAUAAAAUCAUACGACCCGUAAACCACUAUUCUCUAACUCGAAACCAUCAUGUGCUUACUUCCCAAUUAAUGAACACAUAACGCGUAUUGACCCUACUCAAGAUAUAUAGGAAGCGAUGACUACUUUGGCAUGUCACCACCUCUCUAUAUAAGCCAAAACAAUUUCUACUAUCGACUAAGAGUUCUAAGUAUUAAUCACAUUAUUACUUUACACGCGCAAAUAAACCUCAACUUAACACCAGUGACACCGAUGGAUUUUUACUAAACUCAUCAUGCGCAUAACCAUUUAAUCUCUAAUUGGUACUAAGGUAUAAUUCAACAUUCCAAGAGACAUGCAAGCUUUUGUUUACUUCAAAUUUUCACUAACUCUUCUUAUAAUUACAAAAUGGGUGUUAUUUUAGCACCAUAUGAAACUAUCUAAUUUGAGGCUGACAUUUUUAUGAGGCAUAGGUAAUAACAAUUUAUGACUAAGGUAUAAAUUUCACAUACCCAGGUUUUAUAUUUUAUUUACUACAAAAAUAACAAUUUGUUAAUGCAAUAAAGCAUGUGAGAGCAAGUUAAAUCUAAAAUUAAUUAUUUUCUGUGGAUGCAUGAUCAUAUUAAGUUUCCUUAGGCUACUAUAAUAUCAUGCAAGGACAGUGGAACACCAUUUUACAUUUUUGCAUCUAUACAUCAUUUUUAAAUCAUUUAAAACUACUUAAGGUGCAUUAAACAAGUUAAAUCACUAACUUAAUCAUACAUGCACAACAAUUCAUGAAAUGUUUACCAGUCACCAAACAUCACACCAAGAGUCUACUGUAAAAAUUUCAACCUAUUUGGAGCACCAGAGCUACAGAUCCAAAAAUAAAAAUCAAAACAAUCAUUUUUUUCCUAUUUAACAUGUUUUAAUUAACACACCAAGAAAACAGUGAACAACAUGUAAGUUUUAUAUUUUUCCUAGAUGGAGUAUGAUAACAUCUAACUAACAAAAUAGGUUUCAUCAUUUUUGGAUUUUUAUAAUUAAAAUUAUGGAGAGAAGCAAGUUUGUUUAUUCUCUAAACCAGUUUUUAAUUACGAAUUUCUACAGAAAAACUUUUCCACUAAAACAUGCCAACCUAUAGAUCCAAUAGUUAGAGAAUUUCAUAAGGAAGCCAACAAAACAAAUUUCGUGAUUUUUGGAGCUCUAAAACUUGAGAUAUGAUUUUUGGGAAAACAACACAAAAUCUGCAACUCUAGACACAUGCAUGUGACCUGGGCCCACCUGCCAUAGACACAUGGAUCAUCUUCUUCCUCAAACUCACGUACAUGGCCUGCUCCCGAACAGAGAAGCCAGCGACGGCGCUCCUGGCCGACGUCGCGCAGCAGGGGCACCAGCGAGCGCCAGGGUGAGCUCCAAGGCGGCGGCACAGCACGGCAGAGGACAAAGCAGGCCUGAGUGCCGCGCGCAGCAGAGACGGCGGAUGCACG